rnacentral:rRNA from 1 species
UUGAACGCUGGCGGCAUGCUUUACACAUGCAAGUCGAACGGUAACAGGGAGCUUGCUCCGCUGACGAGUGGCGAACGGGUGAGUAAUGCAUCGGAACGUACCCAGUCGUGGGGGAUAACGGAGCGAAAGCUUUGCUAAUACCGCAUACGAUCUACGGAUGAAAGCAGGGGACCCUCGGGCCUUGCGCGAACGGAGCGGCCGAUGGCAGAUUAGGUAGUUGGUGGGAUAAAAGCUUACCAAGCCGACGAUCUGUAGCUGGUCUGAGAGGACGACCAGCCACACUGGGACUGAGACACGGCCCAGACUCCUACGGGAGGCAGCAGUGGGGAAUUUUGGACAAUGGGCGAAAGCCUGAUCCAGCAAUGCCGCGUGCAGGAUGAAGGCCUUCGGGUUGUAAACUGCUUUUGUACGGAACGAAAAGUCUCGGGAUAAUACCCUGGGACCAUGACGGUACCGUAAGAAUAAGCACCGGCUAACUACGU